rnacentral:rRNA from 1 species
GAGGAAUGUAUAGCAAUAGCUAGUUGCAUCAUUGUAAUGAUGAUGCAAUAUUGACUAUGUUGAAUAAAAUUCUAGGUAGAAUUAUGAUAAUGACAUUGUCUGCCUAUGUGUCUUGACCAAAUUACGUGCCAGCAGUCGCGGUAAUACGUAGAAGACUAGUGUUAUUCAUGUUUAAUCGGUUUAAAGGGUACCUAGACGGCAGAUCAAGCUUUCCGAGAAGAAAAAAAAAAGAAAAAAGGACUAAUUUGCUAGAGUUACUUACGAGGGGGCUUUAAAGUACUAAUGGUGUAGAGAUGAAAUUCUGUCAUACCUCUUUUCGAAAGAAAAAAUAUGGCACAGGUAUAGGCGAAGGCAUCCCCUUAUGUGAUAACUGACGUUGAGGGACGAAGGCUUUAUAUAAUGAACAGGAUUAGAUACCCCAGUAGUGGAAGCAGUAAAUGAUGAAUGUCAUAAAUUAGCUAGAUAGGUUCAUUCUAUAAAUGAAAGUGUAAGCAUUCCACCUCAUGAGUAAUUUGGCAACAUUGGAAUUGAAAUCAUUAGACCGUUUCUGAAACCAGUAGUGAAGUAUGUUGUUUAAUUUGAUAAUCCGCAAAAAACCUUACCACAAUUUGAAUAUUUAUAUCUUUUUUUUAUUGUUUUCUUAUUAAUUUUCUUCUCUUUAAUUUAAUAACAAAGUAUUAAAGAAAAGAGGAAAAUCUUUAAUGCAGAGGCAAUAAUAUAUAUUUACAAGCGUUGCACGGCUGUCUUCAGUUAAUGUCGUGAGACUUUGGUUAGAUCCAUUAAAUUAACGUAAACCCUUACUUUAUUUUUAGAUAGAGUUGUUCUCCACUAUAUUGGAUAAGAU